AUCAAUUCAAAUCUUGCAAAGCUAAUUUCUCUCUCUCCCUCACUUGAAAUUUUCGACAACAUCACCUCUCUCCCUCACACACAUUUUCACCCAACACACACUAAUCUCCUUCAUCUCUCAUUUCCACCAUUUUCCUCCAUUGAUGAAAACCUUCGAAGCUUCCAACAAUAUUACCAAACACCUCAAACCACUCUAAUAUCUUCUAUAAACACAUUCUAGCCACUUUUAAUCAAGAGAAUCCUUGAAGAAGAAGCUCCAAAGUUAGAGUGAGAAAGUGAGAAUUUUGGUGAGAAUUUGGACCGAGCGAGACGAAGAAGUAAGUCGCCUGUUUUCUUUCCGAAACUAGCGAAGGACUUCAGGCUAAGCGAGGAGUGAGAUUGGUCUGGUGCUGGUGGAGGAACGUUUCAAUCGUUUUGAUCAUAUUUAAUAUUGCCUUUAUGUUAAUUAGAGUUUGAUGUUUGAGAUACUUAGUUUUCUUUUGAAACCAGGCAAUACACUCACGGUUAUGUGUCUUCAUACAUAUAAUCGGUUCGCCUUUUGCUGCGAUACUCUGCUUAUUAUUCUUCCUUAUGAAAAAUGAGCAAUACAUGUUUUGUUUUU